rnacentral:ncRNA from 2 species
UACGAGUGGCCCGAGCGUUAAUCGGAAUCACUGGGCUUAAAGGGUUCGCAGGCGGACCUGUAGGCAUCUUGUGAAAGCCCCCGGCUCAACCGGGGAAUAGCAGGGUGAACCACAGGUCUUGAGGCAGGUAGGGGUCGAUGGAACCAUGGGUGGAGCGGUGAAAUGCGUAGAUAUCCAUGGGAACGCCAAUGGCGAAGGCAGUCGACUGGGCCUGUCCUGACGCUCAGGAACGAAAGCGUGGGGAGCAAACGGG